UGGGCAACCUGCCCUCAGCUCUGGGAUAACUCCAAGAAAUUGGGGCUAAUACUGGAUAUGACCGCUGACCGCAUGGUCUGGUGGUGGAAAGAUUUUAUCGGCUGGGGAUGGGCCCGCGGCCUAUCAGCUUGUUGGGUGGGGUAGUGGCCUACCAAGGCGACGACGGGUAGCUGGUCUGAGAGGAUGGCCAGCCACAGUUGGGACUGAGACACGGCCCAGACCUCCCGUAGGGAG
rnacentral:rRNA from 1 species